rnacentral:rRNA from 1 species
UUAAGCGACUAAGCGUACACGGUGGAUGCCCUGGCAGUCAGAGGCGAUGAAGGACGUGCUAAUCUGCGAUAAGCGUCGGUAAGGUGAUAUGAACCGUUAUAACCGGCGAUUUCCGAAUGGGGAAACCCAGUGUGUUUCGACACACUAUCAUUAACUGAAUCCAUAGGUUAAUGAGGCGAACCGGGGGAACUGAAACAUCUAAGUACCCCGAGGAAAAGAAAUCAACCGAGAUUCCCCCAGUAGCGGCGAGCGAACGGGGAGGAGCCCAGAGCCUGAAUCAGUGUGUGUGUUAGUGGAAGCGUCUGGAAAGGCGCGCGAUACAGGGUGACAGCCCCGUACACAAAAAUNNNNNNNNNNNNNNNNNNNNNNNNNNNNNCACAUAUUGUGAGCUCGAUGAGUAGGGCGGGACACGUGGUAUCCUGUCUGAAUAUGGGGGGACCAUCCUCCAAGGCUAAAUACUCCUGACUGACCGAUAGUGAACCAGUACCGUGAGGGAAAGGCGAAAAGAACCCCGGCGAGGGGAGUGAAAAAGAACCUGAAACCGUGUACGUACAAGCAGUGGGAGCACGCUUAGGCGUGUGACUGCGUACCUUUUGUAUAAUGGGUCAGCGACUUAUAUUCUGUAGCAAGGUUAACCGAAUAGGGGAGCCGAAGGGAAACCGAGUCUUAACUGGGCGUUAAGUUGCAGGGUAUAGACCCGAAACCCGGUGAUCUAGCCAUGGGCAGGUUGAAGGUUGGGUAACACUAACUGGAGGACCGAACCGACUAAUGUUGAAAAAUUAGCGGAUGACUUGUGGCUGGGGGUGAAAGGCCAAUCAAACCGGGAGAUAGCUGGUUCUCCCCGAAAGCUAUUUAGGUAGCGCCUCGUGAAUUCAUCUCCGGGGGUAGAGCACUGUUUCGGCAAGGGGGUCAUCCCGACUUACCAACCCGAUGCAAACUGCGAAUACCGGAGAAUGUUAUCACGGGAGACACACGGCGGGUGCUAACGUCCGUCGUGAAGAGGGAAACAACCCAGACCGCCAGCUAAGGUCCCAAAGUCAUGGUUAAGUGGGAAACGAUGUGGGAAGGCCCAGACAGCCAGGAUGUUGGCUUAGAAGCAGCCAUCAUUUAAAGAAAGCGUAAUAGCUCACUGGUCGAGUCGGCCUGCGCGGAAGAUGUAACGGGGCUAAACCAUGCACCGAAGCUGCGGCAGCGACGCUUAUGCGUUGUUGGGUAGGGGAGCGUUCUGUAAGCCUGCGAAGGUGUGCUGUGAGGCAUGCUGGAGGUAUCAGAAGUGCGAAUGCUGACAUAAGUAACGAUAAAGCGGGUGAAAAGCCCGCUCGCCGGAAGACCAAGGGUUCCUGUCCAACGUUAAUCGGGGCAGGGUGAGUCGACCCCUAAGGCGAGGCCGAAAGGCGUAGUCGAUGGGAAACAGGUUAAUAUUCCUGUACUUGGUGUUACUGCGAAGGGGGGACGGAGAAGGCUAUGUUGGCCGGGCGACGGUUGUCCCGGUUUAAGCGUGUAGGCUGGUUUUCCAGGCAAAUCCGGAAAAUCAAGGCUGAGGCGUGAUGACGAGGCACUACGGUGCUGAAGCAACAAAUGCCCUGCUUCCAGGAAAAGCCUCUAAGCAUCAGGUAACAUCAAAUCGUACCCCAAACCGACACAGGUGGUCAGGUAGAGAAUACCAAGGCGCUUGAGAGAACUCGGGUGAAGGAACUAGGCAAAAUGGUGCCGUAACUUCGGGAGAAGGCACGCUGAUAUGUAGGUGAAGUCCCUUGCGGAUGGAGCUGAAAUCAGUCGAAGAUACCAGCUGGCUGCAACUGUUUAUUAAAAACACAGCACUGUGCAAACACGAAAGUGGACGUAUACGGUGUGACGCCUGCCCGGUGCCGGAAGGUUAAUUGAUGGGGUCAGCGCAAGCGAAGCUCUUGAUCGAAGCCCCGGUAAACGGCGGCCGUAACUAUAACGGUCCUAAGGUAGCGAAAUUCCUUGUCGGGUAAGUUCCGACCUGCACGAAUGGCGUAAUGAUGGCCAGGCUGUCUCCACCCGAGACUCAGUGAAAUUGAACUCGCUGUGAAGAUGCAGUGUACCCGCGGCAAGACGGAAAGACCCCGUGAACCUUUACUAUAGCUUGACACUGAACAUUGAGCCUUGAUGUGUAGGAUAGGUGGGAGGCUUUGAAGUGUGGACGCCAGUCUGCAUGGAGCCGGCCUUGAAAUACCACCCUUUAAUGUUUGAUGUUCUAACGUGGACCCGUGAUCCGGGUUGCGGACAGUGUCUGGUGGGUAGUUUGACUGGGGCGGUCUCCUCCUAAAGAGUAACGGAGGAGCACGAAGGUUGGCUAAUCCUGGUCGGACAUCAGGAGGUUAGUGCAAUGGCAUAAGCCAGCUUGACUGCGAGCGUGACGGCGCGAGCAGGUGCGAAAGCAGGUCAUAGUGAUCCGGUGGUUCUGAAUGGAAGGGCCAUCGCUCAACGGAUAAAAGGUACUCCGGGGAUAACAGGCUGAUACCGCCCAAGAGUUCAUAUCGACGGCGGUGUUUGGCACCUCGAUGUCGGCUCAUCACAUCCUGGGGCUGAAGUAGGUCCCAAGGGUAUGGCUGUUCGCCAUUUAAAGUGGUACGCGAGCUGGGUUUAGAACGUCGUGAGACAGUUCGGUCCCUAUCUGCCGUGGGCGCUGGAGAACUGAGGGGGGCUGCUCCUAGUACGAGAGGACCGGAGUGGACGCAUCACUGGUGUUCGGGUUGUCAUGCCAAUGGCACUGCCCGGUAGCUAAAUGCGGAAGAGAUAAGUGCUGAAAGCAUCUAAGCACGAAACUUGCCCCGAGAUGAGUUCUCCCUGACCCUUUAAGGGUCCUGAAGGAACGUUGAAGACGACGACGUUGAUAGGCCGGGUGUGUAAGCGCAGCGAUGCGUUGAGCUAACCGGUACUAAUGAACCGUGAGGCUUAACCUU